GGGUUGUGAGGUUAAGCGACUAAGCGUACACGGUGGAUGCCCUGGCAGUCAGAGGCGAUGAAGGACGUGCUAAUCUGCGAUAAGCGUCGGUAAGGUGAUAUGAACCGUUAUAACCGGCGAUUUCCGAAUGGGGAAACCCAGUGUGAUUCGUCACACUAUCAUUAACUGAAUCCAUAGGUUAAUGAGGCGAACCGGGGGAACUGAAACAUCUAAGUACCCCGAGGAAAAGAAAUCAACCGAGAUUCCCCCAGUAGCGGCGAGCGAACGGGGAGCAGCCCAGAGCCUGAAUCAGUGUGUGUGUUAGUGGAAGCGUCUGGAAAGGCGUGCGAUACAGGGUGACAGCCCCGUACACAAAAAUGCACAUGCUGUGAGCUCGAUGAGUAGGGCGGGACACGUGGUAUCCUGUCUGAAUAUGGGGGGACCAUCCUCCAAGGCUAAAUACUCCUGACUGACCGAUAGUGAACCAGUACCGUGAGGGAAAGGCGAAAAGAACCCCGGCGAGGGGAGUGAAAAAGAACCUGAAACCGUGUACGUACAAGCAGUGGGAGCACAGAGCAAUCUGUGUGACUGCGUACCUUUUGUAUAAUGGGUCAGCGACUUAUAUUCUGUAGCAAGGUUAACCGAAUAGGGGAGCCGAAGGGAAACCGAGUCUUAACUGGGCGUUAAGUUGCAGGGUAUAGACCCGAAACCCGGUGAUCUAGCCAUGGGCAGGUUGAAGGUUGGGUAACACUAACUGGAGGACCGAACCGACUAAUGUUGAAAAAUUAGCGGAUGACUUGUGGCUGGGGGUGAAAGGCCAAUCAAACCGGGAGAUAGCUGGUUCUCCCCGAAAGCUAUUUAGGUAGCGCCUCGUGAAUUCAUCUCCGGGGGUAGAGCACUGUUUCGGCAAGGGGGUCAUCCCGACUUACCAACCCGAUGCAAACUGCGAAUACCGGAGAAUGUUAUCACGGGAGACACACGGCGGGUGCUAACGUCCGUCGUGAAGAGGGAAACAACCCAGACCGCCAGCUAAGGUCCCAAAGUCAUGGUUAAGUGGGAAACGAUGUGGGAAGGCCCAGACAGCCAGGAUGUUGGCUUAGAAGCAGCCAUCAUUUAAAGAAAGCGUAAUAGCUCACUGGUCGAGUCGGCCUGCGCGGAAGAUGUAACGGGGCUAAACCAUGCACCGAAGCUGCGGCAGCGACACUGUGUGUUGUUGGGUAGGGGAGCGUUCUGUAAGCCUGCGAAGGUGUGCUGUGAGGCAUGCUGGAGGUAUCAGAAGUGCGAAUGCUGACAUAAGUAACGAUAAAGCGGGUGAAAAGCCCGCUCGCCGGAAGACCAAGGGUUCCUGUCCAACGUUAAUCGGGGCAGGGUGAGUCGACCCCUAAGGCGAGGCCGAAAGGCGUAGUCGAUGGGAAACAGGUUAAUAUUCCUGUACUUGGUGUUACUGCGAAGGGGGGACGGAGAAGGCUAUGUUGGCCGGGCGACGGUUGUCCCGGUUUAAGCGUGUAGGCUGGUUUUCCAGGCAAAUCCGGAAAAUCAAGGCUGAGGCGUGAUGACGAGGCACUACGGUGCUGAAGCAACAAAUGCCCUGCUUCCAGGAAAAGCCUCUAAGCAUCAGGUAACAUCAAAUCGUACCCCAAACCGACACAGGUGGUCAGGUAGAGAAUACCAAGGCGCUUGAGAGAACUCGGGUGAAGGAACUAGGCAAAAUGGUGCCGUAACUUCGGGAGAAGGCACGCUGAUAUGUAGGUGAAGUCCCUCGCGGAUGGAGCUGAAAUCAGUCGAAGAUACCAGCUGGCUGCAACUGUUUAUUAAAAACACAGCACUGUGCAAACACGAAAGUGGACGUAUACGGUGUGACGCCUGCCCGGUGCCGGAAGGUUAAUUGAUGGGGUCAGCGCAAGCGAAGCUCUUGAUCGAAGCCCCGGUAAACGGCGGCCGUAACUAUAACGGUCCUAAGGUAGCGAAAUUCCUUGUCGGGUAAGUUCCGACCUGCACGAAUGGCGUAAUGAUGGCCAGGCUGUCUCCACCCGAGACUCAGUGAAAUUGAACUCGCUGUGAAGAUGCAGUGUACCCGCGGCAAGACGGAAAGACCCCGUGAACCUUUACUAUAGCUUGACACUGAACAUUGAGCCUUGAUGUGUAGGAUAGGUGGGAGGCUUUGAAGUGUGGACGCCAGUCUGCAUGGAGCCGGCCUUGAAAUACCACCCUUUAAUGUUUGAUGUUCUAACGUUGACCCGUGAUCCGGGUUGCGGACAGUGUCUGGUGGGUAGUUUGACUGGGGCGGUCUCCUCCUAAAGAGUAACGGAGGAGCACGAAGGUUGGCUAAUCCUGGUCGGACAUCAGGAGGUUAGUGCAAUGGCAUAAGCCAGCUUGACUGCGAGCGUGACGGCGCGAGCAGGUGCGAAAGCAGGUCAUAGUGAUCCGGUGGUUCUGAAUGGAAGGGCCAUCGCUCAACGGAUAAAAGGUACUCCGGGGAUAACAGGCUGAUACCGCCCAAGAGUUCAUAUCGACGGCGGUGUUUGGCACCUCGAUGUCGGCUCAUCACAUCCUGGGGCUGAAGUAGGUCCCAAGGGUAUGGCUGUUCGCCAUUUAAAGUGGUACGCGAGCUGGGUUUAGAACGUCGUGAGACAGUUCGGUCCCUAUCUGCCGUGGGCGCUGGAGAACUGAGGGGGGCUGCUCCUAGUACGAGAGGACCGGAGUGGACGCAUCACUGGUGUUCGGGUUGUCAUGCCAAUGGCACUGCCCGGUAGCUAAAUGCGGAAGAGAUAAGUGCUGAAAGCAUCUAAGCACGAAACUUGCCCCGAGAUGAGUUCUCCCUGACUCCUUGAGAGUCCUGAAGGAACGUUGAAGACGACGACGUUGAUAGGCCGGGUGUGUAAGCGCAGCGAUGCGUUGAGCUAACCGGUACUAAUGAACCGUGAGGCUUAACCUUACAACGCCGAAGGUGUUU
rnacentral:rRNA from 1 species